rnacentral:lncRNA from 1 species
GUAGACUAGUGGUUAGAGUGUAGGGGGGGCAGGUAGCCUAGUGGUUAGAGUGUAUGGGCGGCAGGUAGCCUAGUGGUUAGAGUGUAGAGGCGGCAGGUAGCCUAGUGGUUAGAGUGUAAGGGGGGCAGGUAGCCUAGUGGUUAGAGUGUAGGGGCGGCAGGUAGCCUAGUGGUUAGAGUGUAGGGGCGGCAGGUAGCCUAGUGGUUAGAGUGUAGGGGCGGCAGGUAGCCUAGUGGUUAGAGUGUAGCGGGGGGCAGGUAGCCUAGUGGUUAGAGUGUAGGGGCGGCAGGUAGCCUAGUGGUUAGAGUGUAGGGGCGGCAGGUAGUCUAGUGGUAAGAGUGUAGGGGGGGCAGGUAGCCUAGUGGUUAGAGUGUAUGGGCGGCAGGUAGCCUAGUGGUUAGAGUGUAGGGGCGGCAGGUAGUCUAGUGGUAAGAGUGUAAGGGGGGCAGGUAGCCUAGUGGUUAGAGUGUAGGGGCGGCAGGUAGCCUAGUGGUUAGAGUGUAGAGGUGGCAGGUAGCCUAGUGGUUAGAGUGUAGGGGGGCAGGUAGCCUAGUGGUUAGAGUGUAGGGGGGCAGGUAGCCUAGUGGUUAGAGUGUAGGGGUGGCAGGUAGUCUAGUGGUUAGAGUGUAGGGACGGCAGGUAGCCUAGUGGUUAGAGUGUAGGGGGGGCAGGUAGCCUAGUGGUUAGAGUGUAGGGGCGGCAGGUAGCCUAGUGGUUAGAGUGUAGGGGCGGCAGGUAGCCUAGUGGUUAGAGUGUAGAGGAGGCAGGUAGCCUAGUGGUUAGAGUGUAGAGGGAGGCAGGUAGCCUAGUGGUUAGAGUGGAGGGGGGCAGGUAGCCUAGUGGUUAGAGUGUAG